UGCCAUCUGUUAGGCCACGAAGCACAAGCAAUAUCAGAAGAAAAUUCCAAAGUAGCCAUGCUCUGAGAGUAUUUUGUCCUGAACUGAGUAACACUCAAAUGUUAUCUGAAUGUUGGAAGAAACCAUUUCAAAGAAAAAUCUUUACAAGCAAUUAUGCAUGCUGAAGCAAUCUACAUAGCAUACAGAAGAUUAUGAUCAUUACUGGCAUAUGACGAUUGUGAAUUUCUGCCACCCGGAUCAUGAGCACAUGAUGAUAUUUGGAUUUUGGGAUAAUUGAUUGUUAUUCAGGUCAUUAUAUACCACCUCCAAGCACAGCUAAUUCCCUCAGAAUUCUUUCAUAAAUGGAUGCGCUUGAGGAAGAGUCUGAAGAAGGAAGAAUGCUCAGAAGACAGAA